rnacentral:tRNA from 1 species
AGAGGUUGUGGCUCAGUGGUAGAGCAGUGUCUUGGCUUGCAUAAGAUCUCAGGUUCGAUCCCUGCAUCUCCA